GAUCAUGGCUCAGGAUGAACGCUAGCGGCAGGCUUAACACAUGCAAGUCGAGGGGCAGCAUGAGGCGGAGAUUCGUCGAAGUCUUGAUGGCGACCGGCGCAAGGGUGCGUAACGCGUGAGCAACUUGCCCGUUUCUGGGGAAUAACCGGUGGAAACGCCGACUAAUACCCCAUAGUAUUGAGUUUAGGCAUCUUUACUCAAUUAAAGAUUUAUCGGUAACGGAUGGGGAUGCGUGACAUUAGAUAGUAGGCGGGGUAACGGCCCACCUAGUCUACGAUGUCUAGGGGUUCUGAGAGGAAGGUCCCCCACACUGGAACUGAGACACGGUCCAGACUCCUACGGGAGGCAGCAGUGAGGAAUAUUGGUCAAUGGUCGGAAGACUGAACCAGCCAAGUAGCGUGAAGGAUGAAGGUUCUAUGGAUUGUAAACUUCUUUUAUACGGGAAUAAAACCUCCCACGUGUGGGAGCUUGUAUGUACCGUAUGAAUAAGCAUCGGCUAACUCCGUG
rnacentral:rRNA from 1 species